rnacentral:rRNA from 1 species
UCGGUGACAGGUGGUGGCAUGGUUGUCGUCAGCUCGUGUCGUGAGAUGUUGGUUAAGUCCCGCAACGAGCGCAACCCCUAUUGUUAGUUGCCAUCAUUCAGUUGGGCACUCUAGCGAGACUGCCGGUAAUAAACCGGAGGAAGGUGGGGAUGACGUCAAAUCAUCAUGCCCCUUAUGACCUGGGCUACACACGUGCUACAAUGGUUGGUACAACGAGUUGCGAGUCGGUGACGGCGAGCUAAUCUCUUAAAGCCAAUCUCAGUUCGGAUUGUAGGCUGCAACUCGCCUACAUGAAGUCGGAAUCGCUAGUAAUCGCGGAUCAGCACGCCGCGGUGAAUACGUUCCCGGGCCUU